rnacentral:rRNA from 1 species
UCUGACCUCAAAUCAGGUAGGAUUACCCGCUGAACUUAAGCAUAUCAAUAAGCGGAGGAAAAGAAACUAACAAGGAUUCCCUUAGUAACUGCGAGUGAAGUGGGAAAAGCUCAAAUUUAAAAUCUGGCAGUCUGAUUUUUUAUCUUUGGCUGUCCGAGUUGUAAUCUAGAGAA